rnacentral:piRNA from 2 species
UGCCAACGGCUUCUGUGCAAGUUUGCUUU